rnacentral:rRNA from 1 species
AACGAACGCUGGCGGCGCGUUCUAAGCAUGCAAGUCGGGCGGCAAGGUGCAGCAAUGCAUCCUAGAGCGGCGGACUGGUGAGUAACGCGUGGGUGACCUACCCUUAGGUUGGGGAUAGCCGUUAGAAAUAGCGGGUAAUACCGGAUGUGGUUGCGAGACUGUGGUUUUGCAAAGAAAGGCGCUUUGGCGCCGCCUGAGGAUGGGCCCGCGUCCCAUUAGCUAGUUGGAGAGGUAAGAGCUUACCAAGGCGAAGAUGGGUAGCCGGCCUGAGAGGGUGAACGGCCACACUGGGACUGAGAUACGGCCCAGACUCCUACGGGAGGCAGCAGCUAAGAAUAUUCCGCAAUGGACGAAAGUCUGACGGAGCGACGCCGCGUGGAUGAAGAAGGCCGUGAGGUUGUAAAGUCCUUUUGUCACUGAAGAAUAAGCGGGGGAGGGAAUGCCCUCGUGAUGACGUUAGGUGGCGAAUAAGCCCCG